rnacentral:rRNA from 1 species
GGUAAGUUCCGACCUGCACGAAUGGCGUAACGACUUCCCCGCUGUCUCCAACAUCGACUCAGCGAAAUUGAAUUGCCUGUCAAGAUGCAGGCUUCCCGCGGUUAGACGGAAAGACCCCGUGCACCUUUACUACAGCUUCGCACUGGCAUCAGGAUUGUGAUGUGCAGGAUAGGUGGUAGGCAUCGAAACCGUGACGCUAGUCGCGGUGGAGCCUUCCUUGAGAUACCACCCUUCGCACUCUUGAUAUCUAACCGCGGUCCAUUAUCUGGAUCCGGGACCCUGCGUGGCGGGUAGUUUGACUGGGGCGGUCGCCUCCCAAA